CAAGACUACCAACAUUAAGGCCAAACAUAUCUUUAAAAGAAGAUUCUGAAGAACUGAAUAAAACAAAAAGCACGAUCUAUACAACUCUUUAUACAUUAAUUCAAUAUCCCCACUGUAUAAAGUUUGGCCUUCUUUUUUGGAAGAUAAUUUGUAGGUAAGUAAAAAGUUCUAUUUGUCUACAAAUUGUUGCUUCUUGGGAUAAAAGAGAAGAUAUGAAAAGCGGCUUCAUAUAAAAUGUGUUGCCUUGAGCUAACUGGGAAAUAACACAAGAAAACAAUUGUUUUGCUCACAGAAUACAUUUUAUUUCAAGGAUUGCAUUACUCAGAUUAUCUGUGCUUAGAACAUGCUUAAUACCAGUUUACAGUUGACAUGGUGCAUUAUGUCCUAUUUAUCUAUUGUACUGGGCUGCGUAAUAUGAGGGAGUUAGGUAACUUUAUAAAUACUUAUUAUAUUCAUUCCUUGCUGCUUGCUCAUUUUGCAUGUCUUUAAGUGUUUCCAACGUGGUGCAGA